CUGAAUGGGGACUACUUCACCUUCCUUGAGCAAGGUGUGCGCCAACAUCUGAUCAGCUGCUGGACAUUGGAAAGCAAGCCUUCCUUGAGCAAAGGAAUAAUCAGGAGCCUGCUUUAAUCUUGUAAUAGUUCCUUUGAAACUGCACCCUUAUCUGCCCCAUAACUUAUGCAAAUAUCAUGUGUAUGGUGGAUGGGUGCAGCUUUCCCUGAAAUGGUUUGAAGAUCCCAAUGGGGGCACCUGGAACACCAUAUUUGGCCCAUAUGUCAGAGAUUCCCCAUCCGUGUUCUAAAGGAAAAAGGUGACUACUACCCCACAUGCACCCUAAGAGCAUGGAAAAUACCUGGAGAAAAGUUUGCUCAAUGUUCUCCAUUUUCUGGGCAUGUGUGUGAGAGAAAAGGUGCAUUUUUUUGUUUGUUUUUUAAUAACCUUCUUGUCAUAUGACCCAAUUUUGUAUUUCUGUUUCUUUAACCUACCUCACAUAGUUGUUGUGAGGGUGGAAUGGGUAGUGGGGAGAACCAUGCACAGCACCUUGUGCUCCUUGGAGGUAAGGUGAAAUUUAACCCAUCCAGUGCAUUUUCUGGGAGUAUGCAGUGGUACGCAUACCGCUAAACAUUUUGUGAAUCUAAGUUUGGCCUCGUUGAGGGGCAGUAUUUCAAUAUGAGUAGGAAAAUGAGAGUACCCCUAAACAUUUUUUUUAAGAAAAAAGCACUGACCACAUCACCCUACAACUUGCCCUCAUUCCCCAGGCAAUUUGUAGAAGAACAAAUCAAACCAAUGACAGUUCAACAAAGGAAGAGCAGGAUGGAUCAACAAGUUGCUUCAUUCUCAGAGUGUGAAUUUUCUCUUCUUCAGACAGUCUUUGAAGGCCUCCUUGACCUUCUCAUUCCUUAGACUAUAAAUAAAAGGAUUCAGUAAAGGAGUAACUACCCCAGUAAGGACAGCAAGGCCCAUCUGGACAUCUUGGGAGUAUCCCUGGCUGGGUAAAGCAUACAUGAUAAUUGAGCUGCCAUAAAAAAUGGAGGCUACAGUGAUGUGAGAUGCACAGGUGGAAAAAGUCUUUUGCCAACCUUUGGUGGAAUGCAUGCGCAAGAUGGUGCCAAUGAUGUAGACGUAAGAGAGAAGAGUGACAAACAAAGAGCCCAGGAGCAUAACUGAGCACAAGAUAUUCUCCAGAGCCAGGAGGGCCUGCACAUCACUGCAAGAAAGCUUUACAACUGGGGUGUAGUCACAGAAGAAAUUGUCAAUAAUAUUAGAGCCACAGAAGGAUAGUGUGUAGAGUAAAAUGAUUGGGG